UACGUAGGUGGCAAGCGUUGUCCGGAAUUAUUGGGCGUAAAGCGCGCGCAGGCGGCCUCUUAAGUCUGAUGUGAAAGCCCCCUGCUCAACCGGGGAGGGCCAUUGGAAACUGGGAGGCUUGAGUAUAGGAGAGAAGAGUGGAAUUCCACGUGUAGCGGUGAAAUGCGUAGAGAGUGUGGAGGAACACCAGUGGCGAAGGCGACUCUUUGGCCUAUAACUGACGCUGAGGCGCGAAAGCGUGGGAGCAACAGGAUAGA
rnacentral:rRNA from 1 species